GGGCAUGGCUCAGUGGUAGAGCACUUGCCAAGCAGGUGAAAGGCCCUGGGUUCGAUCCCCAGCAUAGCCG
rnacentral:tRNA from 1 species